UCGAUUCCCUUAGUAGCGGCGAGCGAAACGGGAAGAGCCCAAACCAACAAGCUUGCUUGUUGGGGUUGUAGGACACUCUAUACGGAGUUACAAAGGACGACAUUAGACGAAUCAUCUGGAAAGAUGAAUCAAAGAAGGUAAUAAUCCUGUAGUCGAAAAUGUUGUCUCUCUUGAGUGGAUCCUGAGUACGACGGAGCACGUGAAAUUCCGUCGGAAUCUGGGAGGACCAUCUCCUAAGGCUAAAUACUCUCUAGUGACCGAUAGUGAACCAGUACCGUGAGGGAAAGGUGAAAAGCACCCCGGAAGGGGAGUGAAAUAGAACCUGAAACCGUGUGCUUACAAGUAGUCAGAGCCCGUUAAUGGGUGAUGGCGUGCCUUUUGUAGAAUGAACCGGCGAGUUACGAUUUGAUGCAAGGUUAAGCAGUAAAUGUGGAGCCGUAGCGAAAGCGAGUCUGAAUAGGGCGUUUAGUAUUUGGUCGUAGACCCGAAACCAGGUGAUCUACCCUUGGUCAGGUUGAAGUUCAGGUAACACUGAAUGGAGGACCGAACCGACUUACGUUGAAAAGUGAGCGGAUGAACUGAGGGUAGCGGAGAAAUUCCAAUCGAACCUGGAGAUAGCUGGUUCUCUCCGAAAUAGCUUUAGGGCUAGCCUCAAGUGAUGAUUAUUGGAGGUAGAGCACUGUUUGGACGAGGGGCCCCUCUCGGGUUACCGAAUUCAGACAAACUCCGAAUGCCAAUUAAUUUAACUUGGGAGUCAGAACAUGGGUGAUAAGGUCCGUGUUCGAAAGGGAAACAGCCCAGACCACCAGCUAAGGUCCCAAAAUAUAUGUUAAGUGGAAAAGGAUGUGGCGUUGCCCAGACAACUAGGAUGUUGGCUUAGAAGCAGCCAUCAUUUAAAGAGUGCGUAAUAGCUCACUAGUCGAGUGACACUGCGCCGAAAAUGUACCGGGGCUAAACAUAUUACCGAAGCUGUGGAUUGUCCUUUGGACAAUGGUAGGAGAGCGUUCUAAGGGCGUUGAAGCAUGAUCGUAAGGACAUGUGGAGCGCUUAGAAGUGAGAAUGCCGGUGUGAGUAGCGAAAGACGGGUGAGAAUCCCGUCCACCGAUUGACUAAGGUUUCCAGAGGAAGGCUCGUCCGCUCUGGGUUAGUCGGGUCCUAAGCUGAGGCCGACAGGCGUAGGCGAUGGAUAACAGGUUGAUAUUCCUGUACCACCUAUAAUCGUUUUAAUCGAUGGGGGGACGCAGUAGGAUAGGCGAAGCGUGCGAUUGGAUUGCACGUCUAAGCAGUAAGGCUGAGUAUUAGGCAAAUCCGGUACUCGUUAAGGCUGAGCUGUGAUGGGGAGAAGACAUUGUGUCUUCGAGUCGUUGAUUUCACACUGCCGAGAAAAGCCUCUAGAUAGAAAAUAGGUGCCCGUACCGCAAACCGACACAGGUAGUCAAGAUGAGAAUUCUAAGGUGAGCGAGCGAACUCUCGUUAAGGAACUCGGCAAAAUGACCCCGUAACUUCGGGAGAAGGGGUGCUCUUUAGGGUUAACGCCCAGAAGAGCCGCAGUGAAUAGGCCCAAGCGACUGUUUAUCAAAAACACAGGUCUCUGCUAAACCGUAAGGUGAUGUAUAGGGGCUGACGCCUGCCCGGUGCUGGAAGGUUAAGAGGAGUGGUUAGCUUCUGCGAAGCUACGAAUCGAAGCCCCAGUAAACGGCGGCCGUAACUAUAACGGUCCUAAGGUAGCGAAAUUCCUUGUCGGGUAAGUUCCGACCCGCACGAAAGGCGUAACGAUUUGGGCACUGUCUCAACGAGAGACUCGGUGAAAUCAUAGUACC
rnacentral:rRNA from 1 species